rnacentral:rRNA from 1 species
UACGUAGGGGGCAAGCGUUAUCCGGAUUUACUGGGUGUAAAGGGAGCGUAGGCGGCCACGCAAGUCAGAAGUGAAAGCCCGGGGCUUAACCCCGGGACUGCUUUUGAAACUGCGCGGCUCGAGUACAGGAGAGGCAGGCGGAAUUCCUAGUGUAGCGGUGAAAUGCGUAGAUAUUAGGAAGAACACCGGUGGCGAAGGCGGCCUGCUGGACUGAGACUGACGCUGAGGCUCGAAAGCGUGGGGAG